rnacentral:lncRNA from 1 species
AAAAAAAGCAAAAGUUUAAUUCAACCUUCUACGUUAGUAGGAAGAAAUUUUAUAUCUAUUAGGUAACAUGUUUGUUUGUAUUUUGUAUGAAUUUGUUAUUCAACCUUUUCAUUUUUUGUUGCUUUGGACUGCUGAACGACAUAGUUUAGUGGCCUGGAUUCAGAAGUUGUUUCCCCAAUAAUCUUAAAUUGGUCUUCAUUGAGUUUUUUUUUUUUUACCAAAUUUGCUUGAGAUAUUACUUAAUAGGCAAUAUUUUUGUGAAAUACAAAAAUAGGCAAGUUGUAGGGGUCUAGAUGACUUUUAACGAAGAAGUCGUGUCUUUCUGGAUGAUUGGUCUUCAUUUGACUAAGAUUGAAAUCGUGCAUGAUGUCAUUGUAAUUGAUUAUCAAAAUUUGUAAUCGAUUACAACAUGAUUUCAGUGUCCCCUGUUUGAAGUAGGCAAAUACUACUUUGCAUGAUGCAGUGAGUUAUUUCGGACACAGUGAUGAACUUUCGUUUCAUUGAUUCAGUGAUGAACUUUCAUUUCAUUGAUGCAGUGAUGAACUUUCAUUUCAUUGAUUCAGUAACUAUAUUUAUGAAUACAGUAAUGAGCUUUCAUUUCAUUGAUUCAGUAACUUUAUUAGUAAAAGUAAAAGUUGUUGAGAGGUG